rnacentral:rRNA from 1 species
GGAAUCUUAGACAAUGGGGGAAACCCUGAUCUAGCCAUGCCGCGUGAGUGAUGAAGGCCUUAGGGUUGUAAAGCUCUUUCAGCUGGGAAGAUAAUGACGGUACCAGCAGAAGAAGCCCCGGCUAACUCCGUGCCAGCAGCCGCGGUAAUACGGAGGGGGCUAGCGUUGUUCGGAAUUACUGGGCGUAAAGCGCACGUAGGCGGACCAGAAAGUUGGAGGUGAAAUCCCAGGGCUCAACCUUGGAACUGCCUUCAAAACUAUUGGUCUGGAGUUCGAGAGAGGUGAGUGGAAUUCCGAGUGUAGAGGUGAAAUUCGUAGAUAUUCGGAGGAACACCAGUGGCGAAGGCGGCUCACUGGCUCGAUACUGACGCUGAGGUGCGAAAGCGUGGGGAGCAAACAGGAUUAGAUACCCGAG